rnacentral:rRNA from 1 species
GACGAACGCUGGCGGCGUGCUUAACACAUGCAAGUCGAACGGAAAGGCCCCCUUGUGGGGUACUCGAGUGGCGAACGGGUGAGUAACACGUGAGUAACCUACCCUUGACUUUGGGAUAACUUCAGGAAACUGGGGCUAAUACCGGAUAGGAGCUCCUGCUGCAUGGUGGGGGUUGGAAAGUUUCGGCGGUUGGGGAUGGACUCGCGGCUUAUCAGCUUGUUGGUGGGGUAGUGGCUCACCAAGGCUUUGACGGGUAGCCGGCCUGAGAGGGUGACCGGCCACAUGGGGACGGGGAUACGGCCCAGACUCCUACGGGAGGCAGCAGGGGGGAAUAUUGCACAAGGGGCGGAAGCCUGAUGCAGAAACGCCGGGUGGGGGAGGACGGCCUUCGGGUUGUAAACCGCUUUCGCCUGUGACGAAGGGUGGGUGACGGUAAUGGGUAAAAAAGCACCGGCUAACUACGU